AGAGUUUGAUCAUGGCUCAGAAUCAACGCUGGCGGCGCGCUUAACACAUGCAAGUCGCACGAGAAAGCAGGAGCAAUCUUGUGAGUAAAGUGGCGUACGGGUGAGUAACACGUGGAUCAUCUACCUUCUAGUGGGGAAUACCUCUGGGAAACCGGAGAUAAUUCCGCAUAAGCUCGUGAGAGGAAAGCCGAAAGGCGCUGGAAGAGGAGUCCGCGGCUGAUUAGCUAGAUGGCGGGGUAACGGCCCACCAUGGCGAAGAUCGGUAGCCGGCCUGAGAGGGCACACGGCCACACUGGCACUGAAACACGGGCCAGACUCCUACGGGAGGCAGCAGUGGGGAAUCUUGCACAAUGGAGGCAACUCUGAUGCAGCGACGCCGCGUGAGCGAUGAAACCCUUCGGGGUGUAAAGCUCUUUCGACGGGAAAGAUUAUGACGGUACCCGGAGAAGAAGCUGCGGCUAACUACGUGCCAGCAGCCGCGGUAAUACGUAGGCAGCGAGCGUUGUUCGGAAUUACUGGGCGUAAAGAGUGUGUAGGCGGUGUUCCAAGUCUGGUGUGAAAUCUCCCGGCUUAACUGGGAGGGUGCGCCGGAAACUGGAAUGCUCGAGGGUGGGAGAGGUAAGCGGAAUUCCUGGUGUAGCGGUGAAAUGCGUAGAUAUCAGGAGGAACACCUGUGGUGUAGACAGCUUACUGGACCACUUCUGACGCUGAGACACGAAAGCGUGGGUAGCAAACAGGAUUAGAUACCCUAGUAGUCC
rnacentral:rRNA from 1 species